rnacentral:rRNA from 1 species
UACGUAGGGCGCAAGCGUUAUCCGGAAUUAUUGGGCGUAAAGAGCUCGUAGGCGGUUUGUCGCGUCUGCCGUGAAAGUCCGGGGCUCAACUCCGGAUCUGCGGUGGGUACGGGCAGACUAGAGUGAUGUAGGGGAGACUGGAAUUCCUGGUGUAGCGGUGAAAUGCGCAGAUAUCAGGAGGAACACCGGUGGCGAAGGCGGUUCUCUGGGCCUUACCUGACACUGAGGAGCGAAAGCGUGGGGAGCGAACAGG